GCCUACAACAGUAGGGAAGAGAUCAGCAUGAUGGUGCACCGCGUCGGCCGGCUGCUGCUGCUGGACGAGUUCGACAUCACCUCCCAUCUGCUGGAGACGGAGAAGACCGAGUGGGUCUGGCUCGACCGCCUGCUCCGCGAACAUUUCAUGACCAAGUUCGAGGACGUGGACUGGGCGCGGCGCGCCGCCGCCGAGG